CCUACGGGAGGCAGCAGUAGGGAAUAUUGCUCAAUGGGGGAAACCCUGAAGCAGCAACGCCGCGUGGGGGAUGACGGUCUUCUGAUUGUUAACCCUUUUUGUUAGAGAAGAUAAUGACGGUAUCUAACGAAUAAGCACCGACUAACUCCGUGCCACCAGCCGCGGUAACAAGGAGGCUGCAAGCGUGACUCGGAAUCACUGGGCGUAAAGGGCGCGUAGGCGGGAUAGCAAGUCAGAUGUGAAACCCUAGGGCUUAACCAUAGAACUGCAGUUGAAACUGUUACUCUAGAGUAUGGGAGAGGUAGGUGGAAUUCUUGGUGUAGGGGUGAAAUGCGUAGAGAUCACGCGGAAUACUCAUUGCGAAGGCGGCCUGCUGGAACAUAACUGACGCUGAUGCGCGAAAGCGUGGGGAGCGAACAGGAUUAGAUACCCUUGUAGUC
rnacentral:rRNA from 1 species